AACUAACGCUGGCGGCGUGCCUAACACAUGCAAGUCGUACGAGAAAGCCGGCUUCGGCUGGUGAGUAAAGUGGCGCACGGGUGAGUAACGCGUGGAUAAUCUGCCCUUAAGUGUGGAAUAACGUACCGAAAGGUGCGCUAAUACCGCAUAAUGCCUGGCAACACAAGUUGUCCGGCCAAAGAAGGCCUCUGUUUACAAGCUUUCGCUUCAGGAUGAGUCCGCGUACCAUUAGCUUGUUGGUGGGGUAAUGGCCUACCAAGGCUGCGAUGGUUAGCUGGUCUGAGAGGAUGAUCAGCCACACUGGAACUGAGACACGGUCCAGACUCCUACGGGAGGCAGCAGUGAGGAAUAUUGCGCAAUGGGGGCAACCCUGACGCAGCAACGCCGCGUGAGUGAGGAAGGUUUUCGGACCGUAAAGCUCUGUCGAGUGGAAGAAGUGUAUCAUGGCUAAUAUCCGUGAUAUUUGACGGUACCGCUAGAGGAAGCACC
rnacentral:rRNA from 1 species